GACGAACGCUGGCGGCGUGCCUAAUACAUGCAAGUUGAGCGCUGAAGGUUGGUACUUGUACCAACUGGAUGAGCAGCGAACGGGUGAGUAACGCGUGGGGAAUCUGCCUUUGAGCGGGGGACAACAUUUGGAAACGAAUGCUAAUACCGCAUAAAAACUUUAAACACAAGUUUUAAGUUUGAAAGAUGCAAUUGCAUCACUCAAAGAUGAUCCCGCGUUGUAUUAGCUAGUUGGUGAGGUAAAGGCUCACCAAGGCGAUGAUACAUAGCCGACCUGAGAGGGUGAUCGGCCACAUUGGGACUGAGACACGGCCCAAACUCCUACGGGAGGCAGCAGUAGGGAAUCGUCGGCAAUGGACGAAAGUCUGACCGAGCAACGCCGCGGGAGUGAAGAAGGUUUUCGGAUCGUAAAACUCUGUUGGUAGAGAAGAACGUUGGUGAGAGUGGAAAGCUCAUCAAGUGACGGUAACUACCCAGAAAGGGACGGCUAACUACGUG
rnacentral:rRNA from 1 species